GAAGAGCCAACUGAGCCAUUCACUUAUCUGCAAUUGGAUCCCCCAAAGAGCGAAGUAAAACUCGAGUAAAGCCUUGCCCUUGUCCCAGAAUCCCUUGCACUUUUUUAAGGGGAUAAAUCAAUUUUUGGUACCUGUACUGAGACACGACUUACAAUUUGGUACCCGAAGUGAAAAAAGUUACAAACUGGUGAUUGUACUCGAAAAAAUGUUACACUCCGUUAAACAGUAGGGACACAACUUACAAUUUGGUACCCGAAGUGAAAAAAGUUACAAACUGGUGAUUGUACUCGAAAAAUGUUACAUUCCGUU
rnacentral:lncRNA from 1 species